AUUGCACUGGAUGCGUCAGCAUGCUGUGCAUUGCACUGGAUGCGUCAGCAUGCUGUGCAUUGCACUGGAUGCGUCUGCAUGCUGUGCAUUGCACUGGAUGCGUCAGCAUGCUGUGUACUACACU